CCAUUCAAAUCUAAGAUGUAGGACGAAUCAGCCACCAUUGUUACUUUCAUUCGAAGUUUCGUGCACGUAUUUACACGUCAUGCACAAUUUAGAGAAGAAAUCCAGCGUACCGGGGGCAGACUCGACUAGAAAAAGGAAACUCGCCCGCAAUGAACUUAACUGUUCUUCAAGGUAAAAAGAAGGGAGGGAGAAACGAGAGGAACACAUGACGGGAUUGAGACUUGGAAGCGUUGCUCUCAAGUCAGCGAGGGGCAUCUAAAAUUUUCAAUCAGAUUUCACUCAUCUCACUUGGUUUGAAAGUUUGAAAAAUUGCGUGGUGUUGAUUCAAUCAUGCAAACGGCAAUUGUUGUGCUUAUCGUUAAUAUUGUUGUGUUAAGCAACAAAGCAGUGAUGGGGAGGAAAAAAGGAGAAGGUGAUCCUCCCUGCCGACUUUUGACGUCCCCCGUGAAGGAAGGAAAUAUGAAGGACAUACCGAUACACAUCAAUGGACAGAAAUUCAGUUA